AGAGUUUGAUCAUGGCUCAGGACGAACGCUGGCGGCGUGCUUAACACAUGCAAGUCGAGCGGAAAGGCCCUUCGGGGUACUCGAGCGGCGAACGGGUGAGUAACACGUGAGCAACCUGCCCUUAGCUUUGGGAUAACCCUCGGAAACGGGGGCUAAUACCGAAUGUUCACUUCCCGUCGCAUGGUGGGGGGUGGAAAGUUUUUCGGCUAGGGAUGGGCUCGCGGCCUAUCAGCUUGUUGGUGGGGUGAUGGCCUACCAAGGCGACGACGGGUAGCCGGCCUGAGAGGGCGACCGGCCACACUGGGACUGAGACACGGCCCAGACUCCUACGGGAGGCAGCAGUGGGGAAUAUUGCACAAUGGGCGCAAGCCUGAUGCAGCGACGCCGCGUGAGGGAUGACGGCCUUCGGGUUGUAAACCUCUUUCAGCAGGGACGAAGGGUGACUGACGGUACCUGCAGAAGAAGCGCCGGCCAACUACGUGCCAGCAGCCGCGGUAAGACGUAGGGCGCGAGCGUUGUCCGGAUUUAUUGGGCGUAAAGAGCUCGUAGGCGGCUUGUCGCGUCGACUGUGAAAACCCGUGGCUCAACCAUGUGGUCUGCAGUCGAUACGGGCAGGCUAGAAUUCGGUAGGGGAGACUGGAAUUCCUGGUGUAGCGGUGAAAUGCGCAGAUAUCAGGAGGAACACCGGUGGCGAAGGCGGGUCUCUGGGCCGAUAUUGACGCUGAGGAGCGAAAGCGUGGGGAGCGAACAGGAUUAGAUACCCCCGUAGUCC
rnacentral:rRNA from 1 species